CGGAGGAUCCAAGCGUUAUCCGGAUUCAUUGGGUUUAAAGGGUGCGUAGGCGGAAUAGUAAGUCAGUGGUGAAAUCCUGUCGCUUAACGACAGAACUGCCAUUGAUACUGCUAAUCUUGAGUACAUUUGAAGUGGGCGGAAUGUGUAGUGUAGUGGUGAAAUACUUAGAUAUUACACAGAACACCGAUUGCGAAGGCAGCUCACUAAACUGUAACUGACGCUGAGGCACGAAAGCGUGGGGAUCAAACAGGAUUAGAUACCCUGGUAGUCCACGCUGUAAACGUUGAUAACUCGUUGUUGGCGAUAUACUGUCAGCGACUAAGCGAAAGUGAUAAGUUAUCCACCUGGGGAGUACGGUCGCAAGAUUG
rnacentral:rRNA from 1 species